rnacentral:rRNA from 1 species
UGCAGGUCGACGGCAGCACGGGGGACCCUGGUGGCGAGUGGCGAACGGGUGAGUAAUAUAUCGGAACGUGCCCUGGAGUGGGGGAUAACUAGUCGAAAGACUAGCUAAUACCGCAUACGAUCUACGGAUGAAAGUGGGGGAUCGCAAGACCUCAUGCUCGUGGAGCGGCCGAUAUCUGAUUAGCUAGUUGGUGGGGUAAAAGCCUACCAAGGCAUCGAUCAGUAGCUGGUCUGAGAGGACGACCAGCCACACUGGGACUGAGACACGGCCCAGACUCCUACGGGAGGCAGCAGUGGGGAAUUUUGGACAAUGGGGGCAACCCUGAUCCAGCAAUGCCGCGUGAGUGAAGAAGGCCUUCGGGUUGUAAAGCUCUUUUGUCAGGAAAGAAACGGUCUGGGCUAAUACCCUGGGCUAAUAACGGUACCUGAAGAAUAAGCACCGGCUAACUACGUGCCAGCAGCCGCGGUAAUACGUAGGGUGCAAGCGUUAAUCGGAAUUACUGGGCGUAAAGCGUGCGCAGGCGGUUGUGCAAGACAGAUGUGAAAUCCCCGGGCUUAACCUGGGAAUUGCAUUUGUGACUGCACGGCUAGAGUGUGUCAGAGGGGGUAGAAUUUCCACGUGUAGCAGUGAAAUGCGUAGAGAUGUGGAGGAAUACCGAUGGCGAAGGCAGCCCCCUGGGAUAACACUGACGCUCAUGCCCGAAAGCGUGGGGGAGCAA